rnacentral:rRNA from 1 species
UACGAAGGGGGCUAGCGUUGCUCGGAUUGACUGGGCGUAAAGGGCGCGUAGGCGGUUCGUACAGUCAGACGUGAAAUCCCUCGGCUUAACCGGGGAACUGCGUCUGAUACUGGAUGGCUUGAGUUUGGGAGAGGGAUGCGGAAUUCCAGGUGUAGCGGUGAAAUGCGUAGAUAUCUGGAGGAACACCGGUGGCGAAGGCGGCAUCCUGGACCAACACUGACACUGAGGAGCGAAAGCCAGGGGAGCAAACGGG